CCUACGGGUGGCAGCAGUGAGGAAUAUUGGUCAAUGGCCGCAGGGCUGAACCAGCCAAGUCGCGUGAGGGAUGACGGUCCUAUGGAUUGUAAACCUCUUUUGUCAGGGAGCAAAGGGUGCCACGUGUGGCGUUUUGCGAGUACAUGAAGAAAAAGCAUCGGCUAACCGCGUGCCCGCAGCCGCGGUAAUAUGGAGGAUGCGAGCGUUAGCCGGAUUUAUUGGGUGUAAAGGGUGGGCAGGGGGAAUGUCAAGUCAGCGGUAAAAUUUCGGGGCUAAAACCCGUCGUGCCGUUGAAACUGGCGGUCUUGAGUGAGCGAGAAGGAGGCGGAAUGCGGGGUGUAGCGGUGAAAUGCAUAGAGAUCACGAAGAACUCCGAUUGCGAAGGCAGCAUACCGGCGCUCAACUGACGCUCAUGCACGAAAGCGUGGGUAUCGAACAGGAUUAGAUACCCGAGUAGUC
rnacentral:rRNA from 1 species